GGAGAGGUGGCCGAGCACGGCCGAAGGCAACGGUUUGCUAAACCGUCACAGGGGAAACUCUGUCGCGGGUUCAAAUCCCGCCCUCUCCGCCA
rnacentral:tRNA from 1 species